CAGCCGCGGAAUUCCAGCUCCAAUAGCGUAUAUUAAAGUUGCUGCAGUUAAAAAGCUCGUAGUUGAAUUUCGGGACUAAUAUGUCGGUCGUGCCUCGGUACGUACUGGCUUAUUGGUUUCUCCUUUCUGAAGAACCAUGAUGUCAUUUAUUUGGUGUCGUGGGGAAUCAGGACUGUUACUUUGAAAAAAUUAGAGUGUUUAAAGCAGGCUCACGCUUGAAUACAUUAGCAUGGAAUAAUGAAAUAGGACGUUUGAUUCUAUUUUGUUGGUUUCUAGGAUCGACGUAAUGAUUAAUAGGGAUAGUUGGGGGCAUUAGUAUUCAAUUGUCAGAGGUGAAAUUCUUGGAUUUAUUGAAGACUAACUACUGCGAAAGCAUUUGCCAAGGAUGUUUUCAUUAAUCAAGAACGAAAGUUAGGGGAUCGAAGACGAUCAGAUACCGUCGUAGUCUUAACCAUAAACUAUGCCGACUAGGGAUCGGAUGAUGUUAAUUUUUUAAUGACUCAUUCGGCACCUUACG
rnacentral:misc_RNA from 1 species